rnacentral:lncRNA from 1 species
AUUACUGAAAUUUGAUCUUUGUUUUGGAUCAAACUUUGGGAGAAAACCUUUUGAAGCCCAACAUUUUAUAAGCUGCAGAUUUUUUUUUUUAGCGUGCAUCUUUUCCAUUCAAUGACUAAUUGAAUGGAAAUGGUUAUUCCACAUCUCCAAUUUUCGGCUACAAAAUCCUCAAGACUUUCCCAACUUCUUCACACAGUUCCAAAUUUAUUACUACUCACCCCAGAUUUUCUUCCGAUAAAUUUUACAACUUUCUUUCACAGAUUCGAUGCCACGAGCUGUGUAAACUUUGAGCAGAUUCAUAUCACACAGAGGUUUGCUUCAUUCUAUUCUAACAAAAUAACAUAGCUAUCACCAAUUGUUUUCACAAAACAAAAUCAAUCAAGAUGUUCAUAUGCAUAUACUUUGCAUAAUCUGAAGCAUUUAUUUCAUAAACUGAAUCAAGUUUUCCUGAAGUGAAUAAAUGAGUAGAAAUAUGUUUUUAAAUUGGAAAAAAGGGGAAUAACUUGCUGUCGGAUGUGGGUGACUCGAGGCAAGUCGGGGACUGAGAGGCGGCUGCGGCUUGAUUGCUGCUGCUGCUGCUGCUCGAGAGUUGAGGGAGAAACCGGCGGCGGCGGAGGCUGUUGAUUGUUGUUGUCUGUCGGUUGGGAGGAGAGAAAAUGGGCAGGGCGGUGGUCCUUGUGGGCUGCUGUUCAGCCGGUCGAUGGAGGAGGAAGGCGGCUGAGCGGCGACGCCGCUGUUACCGCGGCUGUUGUCGCUGGCAAGGGAGAGGUGGCGGGUGUCCGUUGAGAGAGAGCGGGGAGGAUUAGGUGUGCUGAUUUCUGUGUGUGCGUGCGUGUUCUAUGCGAGAUAGAGCGGGAGAGAGAGACGCCGAGAUGGAGAAGGAGGCGACAGCCAUAGAGUCGGCGUCGCAGCGUCUGCUCGCCGGAGAAAGAGGCGGCGGCGGCUGCAGAUUUCAGAGGGAGAAAGGAGAAAUUGAGAGCUGGGAUAGAGAGAGAGACCGAGAGAAUAAAAAGAAAGGAAGGGAUGGGUUGAAUUGGGCCCUAAUGUUUGGGCUUUGUAUUAAUUUCUGGAUUUUUUUUCAUUCAAAGGAAUUGGGCCUAAAGUAGAGUUGAAUUGGGCUGUAUUCAUUGGGUUUGCUUGGUUUUUAUUCCAAAGUUGCAUAAUACAUAUUAUUAUGCAUUAAGUAUGAAUUUUUGGAUUACGUGUUCAUAACACGAGAAGAGUUUAUUAAACAUAGAUUAAAGUUCUAAGUUAUAUGGUUGCAGUAAAGUAUUUUUGAAAUUGGGAUUUAGUUAAGUUUAAUGAGAAGUCGAUUAAUUAUCGAUCUAGGAUUUAAGAAUUUUAUGGAAAUGUUAGCAGAGACGAUAUUUUGAGGCCUAUUAAGAUUAGAUUAUUCUUGUAGGUCCACUUGAUAGAAGGUUUUAGCACUGAUUUUACAAGAAGAGAAUUGUGCAAGAUUUAUCUACAGGCUUGUUAUCAAGGUGGGUUUUUAUUUUCCAAUGCAUGUUUUGAGUUAUUGAGCUCUACAUUGUCUUUAUGCAAAUGCAAAUGAAUGUCCAUGUUAAAAUGUUUUUAUCUCUCUAUUGUUUAAAGUGCUCCUAUGUUCUCUAACGAUCGGGUCCUAGCCGGCGUAGCGAUUGGAUCGCCCUGGUUAGGAUUGUGUACACACAAGGGGGUAUUGUGGGCUGCUCCCACUUGCCUCAGACUGUCAGACUUGGGCUGCUCCCAUUUCUGAAACAUGCAUGGUAGUGGACCUCUGUGGGCUGCUCCCACAAGUUCACAUAAUAGGUGAAGCACCAGUAGAGAGAAGACUGAAAAUGGAUCCACAAUUUAUUUUUAUGUAUGCAUAGAAUGCUUUCAAAUAUUUCUAUGUUAUACUGUUCAUAGCAUGGAUUAUUCUUUUAAAUGAAUUUUUCAAAUGUUUUCAAAUGGCUAAACCCACUGAGUAUACUAGUACUCAGCCCUGCAAUUGUUUUCAAAACCUUUUGCAGGUUGAGCGGCAGAUGGUGUCGUGCGAAGCUGAGGGAGGGUGUUGUUGUAUUCCCAAAUGAAUGUCAAGAAUAAUUUCCGCUGCCAUAGUAUUCACUAAGAUGGAUAUUAUUUGAGAUUAACUAUUUUAAUAUGAACUCCUGA